AUGCACGCUGGCGGCGUGCCUAAUCCAUGCAAGUCGAGCGAACAGACGAGGAGCUUGCUCCUCUGACGUUAGCGGCGGACGGGUGAGUAACACGUGGAUAACCUACCUAUAAGACUGGGAUAACUUCGGGAAACCGGAGCUAAUACCGGAUAAUAUAUUGAACCGCAUGGUUCAAUAGUGAAAGACGGUUUUGCUGUCACUUAUAGAUGGAUCCGCGCCGCAUUAGCUAGUUGGUAAGGUAACGGCUUACCAAGGCAACGAUGCGUGGCCGACCUGAGAGGGUGAUCGGCCACACUGGAACUGAGACACGGUCCAGACUCCUACGGGAGGCAGCAGUAGGGAAUCUUCCGCAAUGGGCGAAAGCCUGACGGAGCAACGCCGCGUGAGUGAUGAAGGUCUUCGGAUCGUAAAACUCUGCUAUUAGGGAAGAACAAAUGUGUAAGUAACUAUGCACGUCUUGACGGUACCUAAUCAGAAAGCCACGGCUAACUACGUG
rnacentral:rRNA from 1 species